rnacentral:lncRNA from 1 species
AUUUUACUUUCAAAUGUUUCAUCUGCUGAGUCAACAGCAUUAUCAUCCUUAUUAGAUCACUAGUCAUAUCAUUAGCAUCUAUUUUAUAUGUGGUGAGAAUAAAGUUGAAAGAGAUUGUCAGUUUUAUAAAACAUGGUCAUGUGUUUCUAGUCGAUAGCUGUAACUUCUUUCAGCAUAGUAUUAUUAUCCAUAUUCCUUUCAGAAAAACUGAAGAUUUUGAAUAAUUAUUUUGUUUUAUCAUUACAAGUUCUGUUUUGCCUUUGUUCAUUCUCACAUAGCAACUGAGGCCCUUUUGCUCCUGUUUUUCUUUUGCUUCUGGCGGCCUACAAGGUAAAAAGCUAAGCACAAUUGAAGAAGAGCAAAGUUUCUAAGAGAGUAAGGCUGAGAAUGGAAUUAAUGAUAUCUUGGAAAAUCUGUUUGCC